AUUGAACGCUGGCGGAAUGCUUUACACAUGCAAGUCGAACGGCAGCACGGGGCAACCCUGGUGGCGAGUGGCGAACGGGUGAGUAACGACAUUCGGAACGUGCCCAGUACGUGGGGGAUAACGUAGCGAAAGCUACGGCUAAUUACCGCAUACGAACUCUGGUUGAAAGCGGGGGACUCGCAAGGGCCUCGCGCGAUUGGAGCGGCCGAUGGCAGAUUAGGUAGUUGGUGGGGUAAAGG
rnacentral:rRNA from 1 species